rnacentral:rRNA from 1 species
AGUGAACGCUGGCGGUAGGCCUAACACAUGCAAGUCGAACGGCAGCACAGUAAGAGCUUGCUCUUACGGGUGGCGAGUGGCGGACGGGUGAGGAAUACAUCGGAAUCUACUUUUUCGUGGGGGAUAACGUAGGGAAACUUACGCUAAUACCGCAUACGACCUACGGGUGAAAGCAGGGGAUCUUCGGACCUUGCGCGAUUGAAUGAGCCGAUGUCGGAUUAGCUAGUUGGCGGGGUAAAGGCCCACCAAGGCGACGAUCCGUAGCUGGUCUGAGAGGAUGAUCACCCCCACGGGAACUGAGACACGGCCCAGACCCCUACGGGGGGCAGCAGGGGGGAAUAUUGGAAAAUGGGCGCAAGCCUGACCCAGCCAUCCCGGGUGGGGGAAGAAGGCCUUCGGGUUGUAAAGCCCUUUUGUUGGGAAAAAAAAGCAGCAGGUUAAUCCCCCGCUGUUCUGACGGUACCCAAAGAAUAAGCACCGGCUAACUUCGU